AUCCCAAUCUGGUGACGAUGGCGUGCGGCGGUGCGAGGAGGGUGAACGGUGACGAUGGCAUCAACGGCGAAGGGGCGGAUGAUGUCUAAUUUGAGAUCAACAUCAAUGGCGGACCCACUCAUCCCUCAUAAGUGCCUUGGCUGCGAUGAGGGAAACCUGCGCAUACGCUAUUUGGAGAAAGGAGGAGAUGGAGCGGAGAGGAAGCGGAGAGGAAGAAGAGGGAAGUUAACUGGAAAUUACAAUUAUGCCAUUGGGUGUGAUUAGAAUUAUAUUCAUGUUAUUGUUAUUGUAUAUUCGAGAGCACUCUUAACAAAAAUAUUUAAAUAUUAACUAAAAAUAAAGAUUAACAUAAUUAUUAAUUAAAUUAUUAGUUAGAUAUAUUUCUAUUUAAUUUAAAAUAUAUUUAAAAAGUGUCAUAAAAUUAUUUGAUUAUGUUUUAUAACAUAUUAAUUAUUUAUAAAAUAUAAUUCAGAAAUGUAUAAAAAAUCAUAUAUUAAUUUAAAUUAACAUUAAAUAAGUUAAAAAUUUUAAUUUAGUUAAUAAUAAUAUUGUAACAUAAACUAAUGUGAUAAUAAUAUGUUAUGAAUAUACAUUAAUAAUAAGAUUAUUGUUAAUUAAAAUAUAAUAAUAUUAUACACAAUAAAAAAUAUUUAAAUCUUAAUUAAAAAUAAUCAACACAAUUUUCAAUUAAAUUUUUAGUUAGAAAAUAUUAAUAUUUUGAUCUAAAAUAAUUUAAAAAAAUUACAUAAUAUAUUUUUAUAUAUUUUGACAUAUUAGCUAUUAACAAAAUAUUAUUCAAUUAUGCAAUGAAGAAGAGCUAUGUAUUAAUUUAAAUUAAUAUAAAAUAAGUUAAAAUUUUAGUUUGAUUAACGUUAUUGUUUUUAACAUAACCUAAUAUGAUACUCAUAUAUUAUAAAUAUACAUUAAUAAUAUGAUUACUGUUAAUUAAAGUACUAAUUUUAUAUUAUUUUACUUAAUAAAAAUAUUUAAAUAUUGUUCUAAAAUAAUUAAGAUAAUUAUUAAUUAAAAUUUUGAUUACUAAGUAUUAUUAUUUUAAAAUUUAAAUUUAUUAAAAAAUAAUCAUAUUUUAUUUUAAUUAAUGGUAAAAUAUAAUAAUAUAAAUUCAUAUAACACUUAAAAAUUUAUAACAGAAAUGGAUAUCUAAAUAUAUUUUAAAUACAACUAAAUAUCAGUUAUGAUUUUUAGUAUUUUUUUGAUUUAUUAUUUAUUAUCAAUACGUAUUACAUUGAACACAUUUUCUUAAGAAUAUUAACACUUUACUACGCUAAAUUUAAUUAAUUGUAAUUAUUGAAUGAGUUAAUCAAAAUCUGUCAAUCAGCUCAGUCACGUGCAAGUAGCAUGGUCCCUACGAGCACAUGAAAAAUGGUUCAAGGCGGAUAUCGGAUCGCGGCGGGGGCAGAAGCAGGAGCAAACAUGGCUUCCUCCGCAGCUCUUCGAGAACUACAACGCGAACUCGAGACUAAAGCCAACGAUCUUAGCAAGCUUCAGAAAGACAUUGCAAAGAAUCAUCAAGUGAGAAAGAAGUACACCAUUCAGCUUGGGGAGAACGAACUGGUCCUAAAGGAGCUGGAUCUGUUGAAUGAAGACGCAAAUGUGUACAAAUUGAUUGGCCCGGUUCUGGUGAAACAGGAUUUGGCGGAAGCCAAUGCCAAUGUGCGCAAGAGAAUCGAUUACAUCUCUGCCGAAUUAAAGCGUCUUGAUGCAACCCUUCAAGAUCUGGAUGAGAAGCAAAAUAGCAAGAAAGACAUGAUAUUAAAGUUGCAACAAAGAAUUCAAUCUCUCCAGGCUGGAAAAGCUAAGGCAUAGUUUGCUUUAUAUGGAUUAUCAAUGAAUGUUAUGGAAUACCUAUUUCUGCCCAAGCUAUUUGUAAUUCAAGUCACAAAUGGCAUACAUGGAGCAGUUACCACCAUCAGUCUCAGACUUUCAGGCUGAAAUUUGAAGACAGCGAAGGUGGUGAAGGACCGAAGGUGAAGGGUGUCAAAGAAUGUGGCGACAUUGCGCGAGCUUAUGAAGGCAACCAACUCAAUGUGGAAGGUGUCUGCUGUUGAGCAACCUCCCUAAGUGGCCAUGUGUGUCCACCUGCACGCCUGUGUGUACGUAUAUAUAUCUUCAGUUGCUACUAAAUUGGAAAGAAUUAUUUUACCUACACCCACUGUGGCAGAUCCAUAUCUAUUUCAUGAUUAAGUUUUGAG